CCUACGGGUGGCAGCAGUGGGGAAUAUUGCACAAUGGGGGCAACCCUGACGCAGCGAUGCCGCGUGAGUGAAGAAGUAUUUCGGGUUGUAAAGUUCUAUCAGCAGGGAAGAAAAUGAGGGUACCUGACUAAGAAGACCCGGCUAACUACGUGCAAGAAGACGCGGUAUUACGUAGGGGGCAAGCGUUAUCCGGAUUUACUGGGUGUAAAGGGAGCGUAGACGGCGAGACAAGUCAGAAGUGAAAGCCCAGGGCUCAACCCUGAGACUGCUUUUGAAACUGUUGUGCUGGAGUGCAGGAGAGGUAAGCGGAAUUCCUGGUGUAGCGGUGAAAUGCGUAGAUAUUAGGAGGAACACCAGUGGCGAAGGCGGUUUACUGGACUGUAACUGACGUUGAGGCGCGAAAGCGUGGGGAGCAAACAGGAUUAGAUACCCUUGUAGUC
rnacentral:rRNA from 1 species